rnacentral:misc_RNA from 1 species
CUGGAACCAUUUAAGCUUGCACCCGACUCAGUUUUCAACAGCCAAAGAUCAACGUGCGCACAAUACAAAGAGAUUCAUGGAAACUGUGAACGGAAACCAUACAUUCAACUACAAGCAUCUAAGACCAAACCCAAUAUUAGUGAUGAAGACGAUGAUGUCAGUGUGAGAAAUGACACCAUAAGUAUUAAUGAUAUUCACGGUCGGGAUGUAUUUGGCUAUGAUGUAGAAGGUUAUGAUAUAGCAGGGUAUAGCCGUGAUGGGGAAUAUAAAUCUAGCGUCUACAAAAUUGAAAGCCAUGAAAAUUUAAGGGAACACACUGAUGAUAGUAGCAUUGAAGCUAAAGUUAAUACUCAAUCUAUCAGUGAGAAAUGCCUCUAUAUAAGGACAUUCCUAGAUCUGCAAAAGCAAUUAAGAAAGUGUACCUUGUCGAUGUUAAUGAAGAUAAAGCGAAUAUGUGAGCGACAAAGCAACAUUCCUAAUCAGUGGAUCAAAUAUUAUUGGCUGUUCAGACAUCAGCAGGUGAACCUUCUAAAGGAAAUAUCAAACGAUAUUCAGAAUAGACUCAAACAAAACCUCACCGUACCCCCGGAGAUGUCAACUGAGUCCACUUCGAGUAACAAUGAAAUGGACAAGAGGUUCUGUUUCGAGAGCAAACACCUCAGAAACAGCCAUAUUACCCAUCCAGACUGCCCAGACGAAGCAUGCAUUGAUGCAAUCUGUCCGAAUCAACCCAGAGCCAAAUGCAAAGUGAUCAAACAACAUGGGGAAUGUCAGGCAACUUGGUACAAUGAGACAAACGCUCGGAAAGUCGUCAACUGCACCAAACAGUGUUCUUUGGACAAUUACAGAAGUGAAGACUCAAAGGGGUUCCCCUGUCACUAUUGUACAUGUACAGAUGGAGUUGUAGAAUGUGUAAAGAGACGUUGCCCUACUCCUCGCUGUGAAUACCCUGCAAGACUACCUGCUCAAUGUUGUCUGACGUGUUACAGCUGUGAGUACAAUGAUACCAUAUAUGGUCAUGGUGAUGAAAUUAAAGUACCCGAUCGACCCUGUGAUUUCUGUCGAUGUAAUGCUGGAAAUCUUUACUGUAUUCCACAACCUUGUCCAAGGUGUCAAAGUCAAGCGGCUUCUAGUCCAAAAACUUCAAGUUUAAAAUGCUGCCCUAACUGUGCAGAUUGUAAUGGACACAAAAAUGGAACAACCUGGUACGCCAGUCCAUGCAAAACAUGCACUUGCUUGAAUGGAGUUGAGAAAUGUAAGAAGAAAAUCUGCCCUAAUCCUUUGUGCUCUCAUCCAGCUAAAAACAAGCAUAAAUGCUGUCCUGAAUGUCUGGGUUGUAGUCUUCAACAGAAAAUAUUCCGCAAUCGGGAAAAAUUCUUGAAGCAUAACUCCCCGUGUGACGUGUGUCUAUGCAGUCAGGGCAAUAUAACAUGCGAGAGACGAACAUGUCCCCGGGGAAAGUGCCAGCACCCAGCUGUCCCUCGGGGACGGUGUUGUCCUCAGUGUAGAGAUUGUUACUAUGAAGGCAGAUUCUACAAAAAUGGUUCUGAAUUCGCUCACCCAGUAGAUGUCUGUAAAAGAUGUCGCUGUAAAUCAGGGUCCGUGAGAUGUAAGCUUGAUUGCCAGCCUCAGGAAUAAUUCCCCAAAUUUCUUCUAGAAACCUAGAUCAUUCAGCACCUGUUUCUACAAGGAAAUAAUAUCUUUAUGGCAAAGUAGUACAUAUGUACAUAUUAUGUUACAAGAAAGUGACAACAAAUGCCUAGUCUGCCAAUUUACUUAUAGGAUUAAAAUGUAAUUUGAAAGCAUGGCCAUUCAUUAACAUCCUGUGAAGGGACGACGAUUGAUGCAUGAUACAUGU